GAAAGAGGCUGAGCAGUACGAGUAGCGAACCUGGGGGCUCUGAGCUUGGGGUGCAAGGGUCAGGGUCAGCCCAAAGGCACAGGGAGCUGCAAAUGGCCAGGAUGUGCAGGGCUGAAUCCCAGCAGGGACUCACUGCAUCAUGCGAGUCCCUUCUCCCUGAUACCCCACUUGUUUACAGGUUCCCAUGGUGGAUUCACGGUGGCCCGUGGCGUGUUGGAAGCCACUCCAACAUUUCCUUUGGAAUAAUCCUACCCACAGCAUCAAACCACAGAGGCCUGAGCCACCACAGCCCAGAUUGUGCAGGUGAUUCAGACGUCAGAGGAAGGAGCAGCAGAACACAUCAUCUCUUUUGGAAGCCCAGGUUGCCGUCUCCCAAGUCUUUGUGACAUUGCCCGAAUCCCAGGUGAGGCAAGCUGGCUCGGAGCUGGUGACAGCGACUAUGGAGGACUUGUUUGAUGUCUGAUUCAUGAAGAAACCAAAGGAGAGUGAGCAGUGGGUGCCCACGUGUGGCACGUGGUAUCCAGUGGACUAGUUCAGGAGCCAUGCCUAGUCAUGGUGCUCUAGCUGGGAGAUUCAUGGUUUCUGUGGAAAAGCAAGUCUGGAUGGCAUGUAGCAAGCACGGCAUGGCCAAGGACAGGAGGGGUUUGUAGACCUUCACAAGGACCUGGGAAGUCUCACUGUCCCUGCAGUCAGCAGCUGCUGGCUUAGGUGAGUGGGACCAGUCAUCCUUCCCAGCUCACAAGAAAUAAAGCAGCAGGAAGGAAGAUGGGAAAUGGGUUU
rnacentral:lncRNA from 1 species